rnacentral:rRNA from 1 species
UAGGGAAUCUUCGGCAAUGGGGGGAACCCUGACCGAGCAACGCCGCGUGAGUGAAGAAGGUUUUCGGAUCGUAAAGCUCUGUUGUUAAGGAAGAACGAGUGUGAGAAUGGAAAGUUCAUACUGUGACGGUACUUAACCAGAAAGGGACGGCUAACUACGUGCCAGCAGCCGCGGUAAUACGUAGGUCCCGAGCGUUGUCCGGAUUUAUUGGGCGUAAAGCGAGCGCAGGCGGUUAGAUAAGUCUGAAGUUAAAGGCAGUGGCUCAACCAUUGUAGGCUUUGGAAACUGUUUAACUUGAGUGCAGAAGGGGAGAGUGGAAUUCCAUGUGUAGCGGUGAAAUGCGUAGAUAUACGGAGGAACACCGGUGGCGAAAGCGGCUCUCUGGUCUGUAACUGACGCUGAGGCUCGAAAGCGUGGGGAGCGAACAGG